rnacentral:rRNA from 1 species
GACGAACGCUGGCGGCGUGCUUAACACAUGCAAGUCGAACGGAAAGUCCCUUCUUUUGUGGGGUGCUCGAGUGUCGAACGUAUGAGUAUCCCGUUGGUAACCUGCCCUUGACUUUGGGAUAACUUCAGUAACCUGUGGCUAAUACCGCAUAGGAACUCCUGCUGCAUGGUGGGGGUUGGCAUGUUUCUGCGGUUGGGGAUGGACUCGCGGCUUAUGAGCUUGUUGGUGGGGUAGUGUCUUACCAAGUCUUUGACGGGUAGCAGGCCUGAGCGGGGGACCGGCAACAUUGGGACUGAGAAGAGGCGCAGACGACUACGGGAGGAAGCAGUGGGGAGUAUUGCACAAUGGGCGGAAGACUGAUGAAGCAACGACGCGUGCGGGAUGAAGGACUUCGGGGUGUAAACAGCUUUCGCCUGUGAAGAAGCGAGAGUGACGGUAAUGGGUAAAGAAGCACCGGCUAACUACGUG